rnacentral:rRNA from 1 species
UGUUGAGCUUGACUCUAGUCUGACUCUGUGAAGAGACAUGAGAGGUGUAGCAUAAGUGGGAGGCCGUGAACCCUCGCGGUUGUGUCGUGCCGUCAGUGAAAUACCACUACUUUCAUCGUUUCUUUACUUACUCGGUGAAGCGGAAAGCGGACCAUGAGUGUCCACGCUUCUAGCACUAAGUGCAAGGCCCUUCGUUGGCCCGCACGAUCUGUUCCGAGGACAGUGUCAGGCGGGGAGUUUGACUGGGGCGGUACAUCUGUCAAAUGGUAACGCAGGUGUCCUAAGGCGAGCUCAGCGAGGACAGAAACCUCGCGUAGAGCAAAAGGGCAAAUGCUUGCUUGAUCUUUUGCUCUACGCGAGACAGUUGAUAAGGCAAGUGUCUGCCUUAUCAACUGUCGAUGGUAGGUUAUGCGCCUACCAUGGUUGUUACGGGUAACGGAGAAUCAGGGUUCGAUUCCGGAGAGGGAGCCUGAGAAACGGCUACCACA